AAGUUCCCUGCCCCAGUCUGAGUUUCUCCUGCUCCUUACCCUCGUCCUAUUAAUAAUCCCAUGCAGGCGAUUGCAGACCGAGGGAAAACAGUUUGGCUCCAUUGUCGGGUUGCCAAGACCGCCUUUUGAGAAAGGGAGCCCGGCUAGCCUCUGAUCAAACUCAAAGACACGUCAUAUUUUUUUCUGGAGUAUAACAAAUUAGUUGAACGCACAUUGACUACUGAAACAUGUUGUAAUGCAUUCCAAACAAAACACUGUUGGAAGGUAAGCUUGGAACAGAAGUGUAUGCCAGAAUAGUAAGAAGAGCAGUAAAAUAAAGAUUUUGGUGCAUUACUUCAAAAAUACAGGAAGAAAAUCAUCUCUGAAUUGUUGGGGAUGACAACAACGUACACAAGGCUGACAAAGAAAGUCAACAAUAUUAUUUCUCAAAACUUCAGUAACACACAAGGAUUUCACAGAACUGGAGUCAAACUUUGUAAACUGCUUACCAUAAGCUUUGGUUUGCUGAGGAAAAGAUUUGAGGAAGGAGAGAAUAAAUUCUUCCUACUGCUACAGAUGCUGCAUUCAGAGGUGCAGGUUGCAAAAACAUUGAUUAAUUUUUAUCCACA